AAUUAAAAUAGUAUAUAUAUAAUAUAUUAAGCUUAGAACUUAAAGAAUAAUAAUUUUAAUUA
rnacentral:tRNA from 1 species